rnacentral:tRNA from 2 species
AGUUAAUAAGCUUAAAGCAUUUGUUUUGAAAACAAAAGAUAGAAUUCACUAUUCUAUUAACUU